ensembl:lincRNA 4930516B21Rik uncharacterized LOC110327240
AGUGUCCAGCAGGGCAGGCACGCCUACCUCCAUCCCUGGUCCUGGCCAGCUGAUGGAUGGGUUAAGUGUCCUUGCUUGUCAAUUUAAUGGUGUGUGUACUGUCCUCUGAAGAAAUUGCCUUUAGUCUCAUUUAAUAACAAGCAAGAUCCAGUAAGGGUGCUUGCCACCAAAACUGACACCUGUUCAGUCCUGGAACCUACCUGGUGGAAGAAGGGGACUGACUCCUGAAAGCUGUUCUCUAACCGCCACAGGCAUGUGCUUGCCAUCCUACAUGCACAGGAAAAAGGAGCAAAGAGCCACGCAAUGAAUGAGCUAUGGUACAGUGUUCUCUCCAAAAUGUUUGCAGUUUGCAACUGUAGUUACAGCUCUUCACAGGAAUCGACAUCAAACUCGACGCAAGUUAACGUUACAGUACUGAAUAAUGCGACUCAGAUUCGAGGACAAAUGUGGAGAGAUAGUAACGUGUGAAAAAUGUGGCCUCUGACGCCAUCACUGGGACAUCAGGUUCGUAAGCAGAUUUCUCUCGUACAGUUGAAAACAUCAUCGUGUGCAUCUGUGGCAUGAACUGAAAUCUAGAAGCGUGUCUCUCAUCUGUGGUACCCUCCCUGCGGUUCUCCAGUACCAUCAUUUACAGAAUUCGGGGGUAGGUUGGGGGACAUGGGAAAGCAAGCCACUGGCAUUUUAACAACUGCACCCCUGCUGGUGGACCUAGCUUUUCAGAUGAGAUCUCCUACCCGCACGUGACAACUGCUUGCUCCCAGACGGCCUCAGUAACUAGUCUUUCCUACUCUGGUCUCUUCUGAAGCAGGUAAAAUUUCCAUGAUAGUGCUUUCCCAGUGGAGAAAUUAUUUGGCUAAACUCAUACACUUAACUCAUGGCAGUGCUCUGGGAAAACCCACUUGGGCUAAAGCACUUACAAGGACUAAGUCCGCUAAGUGGGGCAAAGAUCAAACACCCAGAGGGCUGAGUUGAAACCCACCGGGAACACGCUGACCCUGGUGUCCCACGGUCAGCAGGACAGCCCAGGGCAGGCAACUCAUAGCUGAGUUACCACUUUCAGUCUCUGCCUGCCGUCGAUGCCCCAGAGUCAAAAAUUCAGAUGUGGUGACAGCUGGUUAAUUAAGCUUUUGAACUGGUAAAAAAGGCUCUUU